AGGCCUCAAGUUCUUGAGCUCCUGUUACAUACAAUAAAGGCCAAAGUAAAAAUAACAUUUGUAAUAAGCCAAACAAAACCAACAAACAAAUCAGAAGAUUCUUGAGUCGUCGUCUCUAGGUAGCUAAGUCAUGCCAUAGUCUGUCUUGAUAAUUCCAAGAGAACCAGAUUCAAAUCUUGAAGACAGUAGUAACACACUAACCGACAAUCAUCAUCUUGGUCCCAUCAAUAAACUUAAUCCACAAAAUUUACAGCCAACAAGACUUUUAAAGUUUUUACCAACAUGUAUAUUAGCCUAGCCUACAACGAGAUCAUGGAUCUGCCUCAACUAAACCAAGUUUAUUGUGAUCAUAGCUCUUAAUUUCUACAGAAUCUAACUGAUCAGAACCAACAAAAAAAUGUGGACAAGGAAGAACUAGUAACAGAG